rfam:Candida auris strain 6684 Scaffold88, whole genome shotgun sequence.
GGUUGCGGCCAUUCCGGAGUGGAAAGCACUGUUUCCCGUCCGAUCAACGAGCGUUAAGCCAUCCAGGGCCACAGUGAGUAAUACAGUGGGAGACCAUGUGUGAAAUUGUGGUGCUGCAAUCU